ACGGUAACAGAAAGCAGCUUGCUGCUUUGCUGACGAGUGGCGGACGGGUGAGUAAUGUCUGGGAAACUGCCUGAUGGAGGGGGAUAACUACUGGAAACGGUAGCUAAUACCGCAUAACGUCGCAAGACCAAAGAGGGGGACCUUAGGGCCUCUUGCCAUCGGAUGUGCCCAGAUGGGAUUAGCUAGUAGGUGGGGUAACGGCUCACCUAGGCGACGAUCCCUAGCUGGUCUGAGAGGAUGACCAGCCACACUGGAACUGAGACACGGUCCAGACUCCUACGGGAGGCAGCAGUGGGGAAUAUUGCACAAUGGGCGCAAGCCUGAUGCAGCCAUGCCGCGUGUAUGAAGAAGGCCUUCGGGUUGUAAAGUACUUUCAGCGGGGAGGAAGGGAGUAAAGUUAAUACCUUUGCUCAUUGACGUUACCCGCAGAAGAAGCACCGGCUAACUCCGUGCCAGCAGCCGCGGUAAUACGGAGGGUGCAAGCGUUAAUCGGAAUUACUGGGCGUAAAGCGCACGCAGGCGGUUUGUUAAGUCAGAUGUGAAAUCCCCGGGCUCAACCUGGGAACUGCAUCUGAUACUGGCAGGCUUGAGUCUCGUAGAGGGGGGUAGAAUUCCAGGUGUAGCGGUGAAAUGCGUAGAGAUCUGGAGGAAUACCGGUGGCGAAGGCG
rnacentral:rRNA from 1 species